UGGCGAACGGGUGAGUAACACGUGGGUGAUCUGCCCUGCACUUUGGGAUAAGCCUUGGAAACUGGGUCUAAUACCGGAUAGGAGCCAUUUUUAGUGUGAUGGUUGGAAAGUUUUUUCGGUGUAGGAUGAGCUCGCGGCCUAUCAGCUUGUUGGUGGGGUAAUGGCCUACCAAGGCGGCGACGGGUAGCCGGCCUGAGAGGGUGGACGGCCACAUUGGGACUGAGAUACGGCCCAG
rnacentral:rRNA from 1 species